rnacentral:rRNA from 1 species
GGCUCAGGACGAACGCUGGCGGCGUGCCUAAUACAUGCAAGUCGAGCGGAGUUGAUGAGGUGCUUGCACCUCUGAUACUUAGCGGCGGACGGGUGAGUAACACGUGGGUAACCUGCCUGUAAGACUGGGAUAACAUUCGGAAACGAAUGCUAAUACCGGAUACGCGAUUUGGUCGCAUGACCGAAUCGGGAAAGAUGGAGCAAUCUAUCACUUACAGAUGGACCCGCGGCGCAUUAGCUAGUUGGUGAGGUAACGGCUCACCAAGGCGACGAUGCGUAGCCGACCUGAGAGGGUGAUCGGCCACACUGGGACUGAGACACGGCCCAGACUCCUACGGGAGGCAGCAGUAGGGAAUCUUCCGCAAUGGACGAAAGUCUGACGGAGCAACGCCGCGUGAGUGAUGAAGGUUUUCGGAUCGUAAAGCUCCUGUUGCCAGGGAAGAAUGCUUGGGAGAGUAACUGCUCCUCAAGGUGACGGUACCUGAGAAGAAAGCCCCGGCUAACUACGUGCCAGCAGCCGCGGUAAUACGUAGGGGGCAAGCGUUGUCCGGAAUUAUUGGGCGUAAAGCGCGCGCAGGCGGCCUUGUAAGUCUGU